UAAUGGGGCCUAAGUACCCUCAAGGCACCAGAUCCAGUCCAAUCUUGGAAGAUAAGUAGAGUGAAGCUUGGUUAGUACUUGAAUGGGAGAUGAUCCAUGAAUACAUGGUGCUGCAGGCU
rnacentral:rRNA from 1 species